ACGGGAGCUUGCUCCCUGAGAUUAGCGGCGGACGGGUGAGUAACACGUGGGCAACCUGCCUAUAAGACUGGGAUAACUUCGGGAAACCGGAGCUAAUACCGGAUACGUUCUUUUCUCGCAUGAGAGAAGAUGGAAAGACGGUUUACGCUGUCACUUAUAGAUGGGCCCGCGGCGCAUUAGCUAGUUGGUGAGGUAAUGGCUCACCAAGGCGACGAUGCGUAGCCGACCUGAGAGGGUGAUCGGCCACACUGGGACUGAGACACGGCCCAGACUCCUACGGGAGGCAGCAGUAGGGAAUCUUCCGCAAUGGACGAAAGUCUGACGGAGCAACGCCGCGUGAACGAAGAAGGCCUUCGGGUCGUAAAGUUCUGUUGUUAGGGAAGAACAAGUACCAGAGUAACUGCUGGUACCUUGACGGUACCUAACCAGAAAGCCACGGCUAACUACGUGCCAGCAGCCGCGGUAAUACGUAGGUGGCAAGCGUUGUCCGGAAUUAUUGGGCGUAAAGCGCGCGCAGGUGGUUCCUUAAGUCUGAUGUGAAAGCCCACGGCUCAACCGUGGAGGGUCAUUGGAAACUGGGGAACUUGAGUGCAGAAGAGGAAAGUGGAAUUCCAAGUGUA
rnacentral:rRNA from 1 species